UGGCUCAGUCGGUAGAGCGUCCGCCUCACAACCGGGAGGUCAUGGGUUCAAACCCCAG
rnacentral:tRNA from 1 species